rnacentral:rRNA from 1 species
UACCAGCACCCCAAGUGGUCGGGACGUUUAUUGGGCCUAAAGCAUCCGUAGCCGGUUCUACAAGUCUUCCGUUAAAUCCACCUGCUUAACAGAUGGGCUGCGGAAGAUACUAUAGAGCUAGGAGGCGGGAGAGGCAAGCGGUACUCGAUGGGUAGGGGUAAAAUCCGUUGAUCCAUUGAAGACCACCAGUGGCGAAGGCGGCUUGCCAGAACGCGCUCGACGGUGAGGGAUGAAAGCUGGGGGAGCAAACCGG